UUCCUCACCUUAACUCUGUUUCAUUAUGUAUGUUAACUAUACUAUUUACUCAAACUCUUCUUUCUCUGGAGUUGUAACUAGACAGCUCAGGUGAUAAGGCCUUAGCUUAGGGAUAAAUAGUAAAGGGAAGGAAGAAGUAUUUCCAAGGGCUUCAUGGAAACUAAAAGCACCAUUCAGAAUAUUUGCACAAUCUUCACACAGAAGUCACAGAGAACUGGAAUGUCACUCAGGACACAUGUCACUAUGGUAGUCCAAAAUGUUACAAAUGACCUGAUAGUCAUACUAGUGGUUGCCACCUCAGAAGAAAGUUUCUGUUGUUCUGUCAGGCUCAGGUUAAGAAUGGCUUGGCUAUGCCUUGAAGAAGACUCACAGCCAACAUGGACUAUUUUUUAACAACCUCUGUCAAAAUCCCUCUGGAAAAUGGGUUUAUAAGCAGAUUGAAGAUGAUUUUCCUGUUUUCAAUAUUCCAACCACUCUAUUCAAAAUUCAAGAUGAUUUUCCUAUUCUCACCCAUCUCAACCACCCUAUCCAAAGUUUUAGAGAGAACAGCAUCUUACAGUCAGUACCUGAAG
ensembl:lincRNA